UACUUUUUCAAAUUAAAUUACAAAUUGUUUCCUUCAAAUCACCCACAUUCUUUUAAAUCACAAAUUGUUUUCUUCUAUUUCCUCCUUUUUAAAUUUGCUUAGAGAAGAGUCAAAAAUUAUGUAGGGGUAUUUACGGCAAAAAUGACAAUUCAUAAUAAAAAUGUAUAUGAGCAAACUUUUUUUUUUUUUUCCAGUUUUCCCAUUUAAAUUUGGAUACACAUGUCCUAUAUUGUAUUGUGUAUCUUUUUUUCUUUUCUUAU
rnacentral:sRNA from 1 species